rnacentral:rRNA from 1 species
CCUACGGGAGGCUGCAGUGGGGAAUAUUGCGCAAUGGGCGAAAGCCUGACGCAGCGACGCCGCGUGAGGGAUGAAGGUCUUCGGAUCGUAAACCUCUGUCAGCAGGGAAGAACGGUCACUGUGCUAAUCAGCAGUGAAUUGACGGUACCUGAGUAAGAAGCCCCGGCUAACUACGUGCCAGCAGCCGCGGUAAUACGUAGGGGGCAAGCGUUAUCCGGAUUUACUGGGUGUAAAGGGAGCUUAGACGGCAGUGCAAGUCUGGAGUGAAAGUCGGGGGCUCAACCCCCGGACUGCUCUGGAAACUGGACGGCUGGAGUGCAGGAUAGGUAAGUGGAAUUCCUAGUGUAGCGGUGCAAUGCGUAGAUAUUAGGAGGAACACCAGUGGCGAAGGCGGCUUACUGGACUGUAACUGACGUUGAGGCUCGAAAGCGUGGGGAGCAAACAGGAUUAGAUACCCUGGUAGUC